rnacentral:rRNA from 1 species
AAUUGAAGAGUUUGAUCAUGGCUCAGAUUGAACGCUGGCGGCAGGCCUAACACAUGCAAGUCGAGCGGUAGCACAGAGAGCUUGCUCUCGGGUGACGAGCGGCGGACGGGUGAGUAAUGUCUGGGAAACUGCCUGAUGGAGGGGGAUAACUACUGGAAACGGUAGCUAAUACCGCAUAACGUCGCAAGACCAAAGUGGGGG